rnacentral:rRNA from 1 species
UACGGGAGGCAGCAGUGGGGAAUAUUGCACAAUGGGCGAAAGCCUGAUGCAGCUAUGCCGCGUGUAUGAAGAAGGCCUUAGGGUUGUAAAGUACUUUCAGUCGUGAGGAAGGUGUUAAGGUUAAUAACCUUAGCAAUUGACGUUAGCGACAGAAGAAGCACCGGCUAACUCCGUGCCAGCAGCCGCGGUAAUACGGAGGGUGCGAGCGUUAAUCGGAAUUACUGGGCGUAAAGGGCACGCAGGCGGUUAAUUAAGUUGGAUGUGAAAUCCCCCGGGCUUAACCUGGGAAUGGCAUUCAAGACUGGUUAGCUAGAGUCUUGUAGAGGGGGUAGAAUUCCAUGUGUAGCGGUGAAAUGCGUAGAGAUGUGGAGGAAUACCGGUGGCGAAGGCGGCCCCUGGACAAAGACUGACGCUCAUGUGCGAAAGCGUGGGGAGCAAACAGGGAUUAGAUACC